rnacentral:ribozyme from 13 species
UUUAUUUAUUUGUCAUUUUUUGCCUUAUUUUUCUUAAUUAAAAGAAAAAAAGAAAAGGAAAUUAAUCUCUCUUCUUAAUUUCAUCU